CCUACGGGAUGCAGCAGUCGGGAAUAUUGCGCAAUGGAGGAAACUCUGACGCAGUGACGCCGCGUAUAGGAAGAAGUUUUUCGGAAUGUAAACUAUUGUCGUUAGGGAAGAGAAAGGACAGUAUAGAAGGAGGAAGCUCCGGCUAACUACGUGCCAGCAGCCGCGGUCAUACGUAGGGAGCGAGCGUUAGCCGGAAUUAAUGGGUGUAACGGGUGCGUAGGCGGGAAAACAAGUUAGUUGUGAAAUCCCUCGGCUUAACUGAGGAACUGCAACUAAAACUAUUUUGCUUGAGUGCAGGAGAGGUAAGUGGAAUUCCUGGUGUAGCGGUGAAAUGCGUAGAUAUUAGGAGGAACACCAGUGGCGAAGGCGACUUACUGGACUGUAACUGACGUUGAGGCACGAAAGUGUGGGGAGCGAACAGGUUUAGAUACCCCUGUAGUC
rnacentral:rRNA from 1 species